rnacentral:rRNA from 1 species
UACGGAGGGGGCUAGCGUUGUUCGGAAUUACUGGGCGUAAAGCGCACGUAGGCGGCUUUACAAGUCAGGGGUGAAAGCCCGCGGCUCAACCGCGGAAUUGCCCUUGAGACUGUAUCGCUUGAACACGGGAGAGGUGAGUGGAAUUCCGAGUGUAGAGGUGAAAUUCGUAGAUAUUCGGAAGAACACCAGUGGCGAAGGCGGCUCACUGGACCGUAGUUGACGCUGAGGUACGAAAGCGUGGGGAGCAAACAGG